UCUACAUGCUUUCAGGCUGAUAUUGGAUAACCAUCCAGGGGGCUCAUCUCAGGAGAAGACUAAUUUUGAUGGGAUCAUCUCACAUUUGGAGGAAGUGAGGUACAAUGUCUCGCUCAGAAAAUAAUAGGAAAUGGCUGAUGUCGAGAGGCUAUGGGAAUGCAGAGCUUACAAAGGCCGAGGAUUUCAGCUCUCUCAGCAGCAGAGGGGUACUUAGCCACUCAAUCCAAAGGAUGGAAACUCAGAGAAUGUGACCUUUACCUUAAAAUUCAAAACACAUGUGAACUUGAAAUGGUAAAAACCCUAAUAGUGAUCAUGACCUCCACGAUGUCCACACUCUAAGCCUUGCAUUGCUUCUAGUAUGGCAGAGGGAAGUGGACACCUGGGGUGAGGAGAAUGCCAAGCAAUCGAUCCAGGUGGUCCAAAGCUGCCUCGUGAGACCCUUUCGCACCCGCCAAACACAGCUUCACACGGGGAAGAACAUGAGCCUUGAGGAUGGAGGAAAGAGCCACAGAGCCGAGGACCCACAGCUUCCAGAAACUGGGAAGAAACUGGGCGGUUGUGGUGCAUGCCUUUAAUCCCAGCAUUAAAGAGGAAUAUAAGACGGGAGGAGACGGCUUACAGUCUUAUUCUGAGAUCCCUGGAGGCUGGAUUGCCGUUUCGGACUGAAGUAGAGUGUUAUUCUUAAAAAACGAUGAGAGCGCUGCAAACGGUCCCCGGGCGGGCUGGCGGAGCCUGCCAUGGGAGAGCGGCUACAGGAGGGCACGCUUCCUUGGCCCACGGUGGCGGCAGGUAACAGACACGUAAACACAGGAAAUAGCCAUAAGUAUUUAUUAAGAAAGGGGGAGA